GCGGCGGGGGGCAGGGGGGGCGGGCAGCCUCGUGAUGAUGUGCGGCUUAGGGUGACUCGACCGGCCCGGCUCAGUCCCGGGGCCCCGACCCAUCAACCAGGUCUGUAAUCUUGGCGGGCGCUGCAGAGCCGUGCGCGCUGGCUGU